GAUGAACGCUAGCGGGAGGCCUAACACAUGCAAGCCGAGCGGUAUUUGUUCUUCGGAACUGCGAGAGCGGCGCACGGGUGCGGAACACGUGUGCAACCUGCCUUUAUCUGGGGGAUAGCCUUUCGAAAGGAAGAUUAAUACCCCAUAAUAUAUUGAGUGGCAUCACUUGAUAUUGAAAACUCCGGUGGAUAGAGAUGGGCACGCGCAAGAUUAGAUAGUUGGUGAGGUAACGGCUCACCAAGUCAAUGAUCUUUAGGGGGCCUGAGAGGGUGAUCCCCCAGACUGGUACUGAGACACGGACCAGACUCCUACGGGAGGCAGCAGUGAGGAAUAUUGGACAAUGGGGUAGCGCCUGAUCCAGCCAUCCCGCGUGAAGGACGACGGCCCUAGGGGUUGUAAACUUCUUUUGGAUAGGGAUAAACCUACUCUCGUGAGAGUAGCUGAAGGUACUAUACGAAUAAGCACCGGCUAACUCCGUG
rnacentral:rRNA from 1 species